rnacentral:rRNA from 1 species
ACAUGCAAGUCGAACGGUAACAGGGAGCUUGCUCCGCUGACGAGUGGCGAACGGGUGAGUAAUAUAUCGGAACGUACCCAAGAGUGGGGGAUAACGUAGCGAAAGUUACGCUAAUACCGCAUACGAUCUAAGGAUGAAAGCAGGGGAUCUUCGGACCUUGUGCUCCUGGAGCGGCCGAUAUCUGAUUAGCUAGUUGGUGAGGUAAAGGCUCACCAAGGCGACGAUCAGUAGCUGGUCUGAGAGGACGACCAGCCACACUGGAACUGAGACACGGUCCAGACUCCUACGGGAGGCAGCAGUGGGGAAUUUUGGACAAUGGGCGCAAGCCUGAUCCAGCAAUGCCGCGUGAGUGAAGAAGGCCUUCGGGUUGUAAAGCUCUUUUGUCAGGGAAGAAACGGUGGAUGGCUAAUAUCCUUCACUAAUGACGGUACCUGAAGAAUAAGCACCGGCUAACUACGUGCCAGCAGCCGCGGUAAUACGUAGGGUGCAAGCGUUAAUCGGAAUUACUGGGCGUAAAGCGUGCGCAGGCGGUUUUGUAAGUCUGUCGUGAAAUCCCCGGGCUCAACCUGGGAAUUGCGAUGGAGACUGCAAGGCUAGAAUCUGGCAGAGGGGGGUAGAAUUCCACGUGUAGCAGUGAAAUGCGUAGAGAUGUGGAGGAACACCGAUGGCGAAGGCAGCCCCCUGGGUCAAGAUUGACGCUCAUGCACGAAAGCGUGGGGAGCAAACAGGAUUAGAUACCCUGGUAGUCCACGCCCUAAACGAUGUCUACUAGUUGUCGGGUUUUAAUUAACUUGGUAACGCAGCUAACGCGUGAAGUAGACCGCCUGGGGAGUACGGUCGCAAGAUUAAAACUCAAAGGAAUUGACGGGGACCCGCACAAGCGGUGGAUGAUGUGGAUUAAUUCGAUGCAACGCGAAAAACCUUACCUACCCUUGACAUGUACGGAAGCCACGAGAGAUCGAGGUGUGCUCGAAAGAGAGCCGUAACACAGGUGCUGCAUGGCUGUCGUCAGCUCGUGUCGUGAGAUGUUGGGUUAAGUCCCGCAACGAGCGCAACCCUUGUCAUUAGUUGCUACAUUUAGUUGAGCACUCUAAUGAGACUGCCGGUGACAAACCGGAGGAAGGUGGGGAUGACGUCAAGUCCUCAUGGCCCUUAUGGGUAGGGCUUCACACGUCAUACAAUGGUACAUACAGAGGGCCGCCAACCCGCGAGGGGGAGCUAAUCCCAGAAAGUGUAUCGUAGUCCGGAUCGCAGUCUGCAACUCGACUGCGUGAAGUUGGAAUCGCUAGUAAUCGCGGAUCAGCAUGUCGCGGUGAAUACGUUCCCGGGUCUUGUACACACCGCCCGUCACACCAUGGGAGCGGGUUUUACCAGAAGUAGGUAGCUUAACCGCAAGGAGGGCGCU